rnacentral:rRNA from 1 species
AUGAACGCUAGCGACAGGCCUAACACAUGCAAGUCGAGGGGCAGCGAAGAGGUAGCAAUACCUUUGUCGGCGACCGGCGCACGGGUGAGUAACACGUAUGCAAUCCACCUGUAACAGGGGGAUAACCCGGAGAAAUCCGGACUAAUACCCCAUAAUAUGGACGCUCCGCAUGGAGGGUCCAUUAAAGAGAGCAAUUUUGGUUACAGACGAGCAUGCGCUCCAUUAGCCAGUUGGCGGGGUAACGGCCCACCAAAGCGACGAUGGAUAGGGGUUCUGAGAGGAAGGUCCCCCACAUUGGAACUGAGACACGGUCCAAACUCCUACGGGAGGCAGCAGUGAGGAAUAUUGGUCAAUGGUCGGCAGACUGAACCAGCCAAGUCGCGUGAGGGAAGACGGCCCUACGGGUUGUAAACCUCUUUUGUCGGAGAGUAAAGUACGCUACGUGUAGUGUAUUGCAAGUAUCCGAAGAAAAAGCAUCGGCUAACUCCGUGCCAGCAGCCGCGGUAAUACGGAGGAUGCAAGCGUUAUCCGGAUUUAUUGGGUUUAAAGGGUGCGUAGGCGGCACGCCAAGUCAGCGGUGAAAUUUCCGGGCUCAACCCGGAAUGUGCCGUUGAAACUGGCGAGCUAGAGUGCACAAGAGGCAGGCGGAAUGCGUGGUGUAGCGGUGAAAUGCAUAGAUAUCACGCAGAACCCCGAUUGCGAAGGCAGCCUGCUAGGGUGCGACAGACGCUGAGGCACGAAAGCGUGGGUAUCGAACAGGAUUAGAUACCCUGGUAGUCCACGCAGUAAACGAUGAAUACUAACUGUUUGCGAUACAAUGUAAGCGGUACAGCGAAAGCGUUAAGUAUUCCACCUGGGGAGUACGCCGGCAACGGUGAAACUCAAAGGAAUUGACGGGGACCCGCACAAGCGGUGGAGCAUGUGGUUUAAUUCGAAGCAACGCGAAGAACCUUACCAAGUCUUGACAUCCUUCUGACCGGAACUUAACCGUUCCUUCCCUUCGGGGCAGAAGUGACAGGUGGUGCAUGGUUGUCGUCAGCUCGUGCCGUGAGGUGUCGGCUUAAGUGCCAUAACGAGCGCAACCCCUAUCGACAGUUACUAACGGGUGAAGCCGAGGACUCUGUCGAGACUGCCGGCGCAAGCCGCGAGGAAGGUGGGGAUGACGUCAAAUCAGCACGGCCCUUACGUCCGGGGCGACACACGUGUUACAAUGGCAGGUACAGAAGGCAGCCAGUCAGCAAUGACGCGCGAAUCCCGAAAACCUGUCUCAGUUCGGAUUGGAGUCUGCAACCCGACUCCAUGAAGCUGGAUUCGCUAGUAAUCGCGCAUCAGCCAUGGCGCGGUGAAUACGUUCCCGGGCCUUGUACACACCGCCCGUCAAGCCAUGGAAGCCGGGAGUACCUGAAGCAUGCAACCGCAAGGAGCGUACGAAGGUAAUACCGGUAACUGGGGCU